GAAACAAGGAAGUGGAGACAAUGUUUUGGCUCCUCUCUGAGCCUUUAUUAUGUGUUGAUGAAAGCUCGUAGAGGAGCCGAAACGUUGUCUUCAUUUUCUUGUUU